UGAUUUUGUUGCUAGCGAUUUAAUUUUUUUGAUCAUAUCGAGUCUUCUAUAGGCUGGUUCACCAUAGCCUUGUAGCUAAGGACAAGUCAGUGCUUUUCCAUCCAAUCAUAAUUACAGAAGCAUCGGUAUUAGAUCUCAUGUUUCAACAAGAUUUCAAUACAUAAACUACAAGAUGGCAAAACUAGGUAUAGCUGGAUUUAUGAUAAGGUGUCAGAUCUUCACAAGCUAAAGUAUUCAGGUUUCUACAAAAUGUCGCCUCGUUUAAUCUUCAAAGACUCAUUUUCAUUUGGAACAUCACCACGCCCACGUUCAACAACAAACAAACAAAGUGAUGAGACAUUUAGCUGGAGUCAUACAAACAAGGUGAUGAGACAUUUAGCUGGAGUCAUACAAACAAAGUGAUGAGACAUUUAGCUGGAGUCAUACAAACCAAUGACAAAUAUACAUUGUCUACAUUAGAUUUAAAGUCUUGACUUGCAGCAAGCAAAUGUUAUGUUAAACCACUUACACCAAUUCUAUGUCUGUUUCUAUAGUGAGAAUA